GUGGGUGUGGCUCAGGGGUAGAAUGCUUGCCUGGCAUGUGUGAGGCCCUGGGUUCCAUCCCCAGCACCACA
rnacentral:tRNA from 1 species